ACUCCAGUCCUGCCCCACCCUCUCCGUGGCUCCAGGUGCUCAGGCUGCUCCUUGCCCGCAGGGAUCCCAGAGGCCCAAGAGGUGAGCGAGGUCUGCACCACCCCUGGCUGCGUGAUGGCAGCCGCCAGGAUCCUCCAGAACAUGGACCCGACCACGGAACCGUGUGACGACUUCUACCAGUUUGCAUGCGGAGGCUGGCUGCGGCGCCACGUGAUCCCCGAGACCAACUCAAGAUACAGCAUCUUUGACGCCCUCCGCGACGAGCUAGAGAUCAUCCUCAAAGCGGUGCUGGAGAAUUCGACUGCCAAGGCCCGGCCGGCUGUGGAGAAGGCCAGGACGCUGUACCGCUCCUGCAUGAACCAGAGUGUGAUAGAGAAGCGAGGCUCUCAGCCCCUGCUGGACAUCUUGGAGGUGGUGGGAGGCUGGCCGGUGGCGACGGACAGGUGGAACGAGACCGUAGGACUCGAGUGGGAGCUGGAGCGGCAGCUGGCGCUGAUGAACUCACAGUUCAACAGGCGCGUCCUCAUCGACCUCUUCAUCUGGAAU
rnacentral:sRNA from 1 species